GCCAGGUGUAGUGGCGCACACCUGUAAUCCCAGCUACAUGGGAGGCUGAGGCAGGAGAAUUGCUUGAACCCAGGAGGUGGAGGUUGCAGUGAGCUCAGGUCGUGCCACUGCACUCCAGCCUGGGUGACAGAGUGAGACUCCGUCUCAA
ensembl:misc_RNA Metazoa_SRP Metazoan signal recognition particle RNA